AACAGGAUUAGAUACCCUGGUAGUCCACGCCGUAAACGAUGAGUGCUAGGUGUUAGGGGGGUCCAACCCCUUAGUGCUGAAGUCAACACAUUAAGCACUCCGCCUGGGGAGUACGACCGCAAGGUUGAAACUCAAAGGAAUUGACGGGGGCCCGCACAAGCAGUGGAGCAUGUGGUUUAAUUCGAAGCAACGCGAAGAACCUUACCAGGUCUUGACAUCCUCUGACAACCCUAGAGAUAAGGCUUUCCCCUUCGGGGGACAGAGAGACAGGUGGUGCUUGGUUGUCGUCAGCUCGUGUCGUGAGAUGUUGGGUUAAGUCCCGCAACGAGCGCAACCCUUGAUCUUAGUUGCCAGCAUUCAGUUGGGCACUCUAAGGUGACUGCCGGUGACAAACCGGAGGAAGGUGGGGAUGACGUCAAAUCAUCAUGCCCCUUAUGACCUGGGCUACACACGUGCUACAAUGGGUGGUACAAAGGGCUGCGAGACCGCGAGGUUAAGCGAAUCCCAUAAAGCCACUCCCAGUUCGGAUUGCAGGCUGCAACUCGCCUGCAUGAAGCCGGAAUUGCUAGUAAUCGCGGAUCAGCAUGCCGCGGUGAAUCCGUUCCCGGGCCUUGUACACACCGCCCGUCACACCACGAGAGUUUGUAACACCCGAAGUCGGUGAGGUAACCUUUUGGAGCCAGCCGCCGAAGGUGGGACAAAUAAUUGGGGUGAAGUCGUAACAAGGUAACC
rnacentral:rRNA from 1 species